rnacentral:rRNA from 1 species
UACGUAGGGGACGAGCGUUGUCCGGAAUUACUGGGCGUAAAGGGCGCGCAGGCGGUAUAUCAAGUCAGCUGUCAAAGACUGGGGCUCAACCCUGGUAUGCGGUUGAAACUGAUAUGCUGGAGUGCUGUAGAGGCAAGUGGAAUUCCCAGUGUAGCGGUGAAAUGCGUAGAUAUUGGGAAGAACACCGGUGGCGAAGGCGACCUGCUGGGCAGCAACUGACGCUGAGGCGCGAAAGCCAGGGGAGCAAACGGGAUUAGA